CCAGAAGCCAGCCCAGCUUCUGCGUGCUUUUUUCCCUGAGGCUGAGACCAAAGAAGAGCUGAUGAUUUCCCCAAGUUGAUUUACUCUCAUAUCUGCCAUGAAGAUUCUGGGUUUUGGAUAGCCGAUGCUUGUUGCUGUUCUCUCCAAGGUGCUUUCUACAUGAUUAAAACUUCUCCCUAGCCCAAGGGUCAGAAUGAUAUGCCUUUAAUUACCAAGGGCUGUGGAAGAAACUAUCAAGUGAAACCAGCAAGAAUCUGUGUUCUAGCUGAGGCUGUCAGAGUUCUGCAGGGAAAACGUGCUGUUUGCCACCACUGCCCCCUCCCCAGCCCAGAGCAGUGCUGGUCAGCAGGAGCACAGCUGUCCACCCCCUCUGCCCCGCAAGAAGAAAAGCUUCAUAUUGAGGUGAGUGCUCAUCUCAUGGCUCUCAUGAGCAAGAGGAUGUGUGG
rnacentral:lncRNA from 1 species